GGUUAAGCGACUAAGCGUACACGGUGGAUGCCCUGGCAGUCAGAGGCGAUGAAGGACGUGCUAAUCUGCGAUAAGCGUCGGUAAGGUGAUAUGAACCGUUAUAACCGGCGAUUUCCGAAUGGGGAAACCCAGUGUGAUUCGUCACACUAUCAUUAACUGAAUCCAUAGGUUAAUGAGGCGAACCGGGGGAACUGAAACAUCUAAGUACCCCGAGGAAAAGAAAUCAACCGAGAUUCCCCCAGUAGCGGCGAGCGAACGGGGAGGAGCCCAGAGCCUGAAUCAGUGUGUGUGUUAGUGGAAGCGUCUGGAAAGGCGCGCGAUACAGGGUGACAGCCCCGUACACAAAAAUGCACAUGCUGUGAGCUCGAUGAGUAGGGCGGGACACGUGGUAUCCUGUCUGAAUAUGGGGGGACCAUCCUCCAAGGCUAAAUACUCCUGACUGACCGAUAGUGAACCAGUACCGUGAGGGAAAGGCGAAAAGAACCCCGGCGAGGGGAGUGAAAAAGAACCUGAAACCGUGUACGUACAAGCAGUGGGAGCCUCUUUAUGGGGUGACUGCGUACCUUUUGUAUAAUGGGUCAGCGACUUAUAUUCUGUAGCAAGGUUAACCGAAUAGGGGAGCCGAAGGGAAACCGAGUCUUAACUGGGCGUUAAGUUGCAGGGUAUAGACCCGAAACCCGGUGAUCUAGCCAUGGGCAGGUUGAAGGUUGGGUAACACUAACUGGAGGACCGAACCGACUAAUGUUGAAAAAUUAGCGGAUGACUUGUGGCUGGGGGUGAAAGGCCAAUCAAACCGGGAGAUAGCUGGUUCUCCCCGAAAGCUAUUUAGGUAGCGCCUCGUGAACUCAUCUCCGGGGGUAGAGCACUGUUUCGGCAAGGGGGUCAUCCCGACUUACCAACCCGAUGCAAACUGCGAAUACCGGAGAAUGUUAUCACGGGAGACACACGGCGGGUGCUAACGUCCGUCGUGAAGAGGGAAACAACCCAGACCGCCAGCUAAGGUCCCAAAGUCAUGGUUAAGUGGGAAACGAUGUGGGAAGGCCCAGACAGCCAGGAUGUUGGCUUAGAAGCAGCCAUCAUUUAAAGAAAGCGUAAUAGCUCACUGGUCGAGUCGGCCUGCGCGGAAGAUGUAACGGGGCUAAACCAUGCACCGAAGCUGCGGCAGCGACGCUUAUGCGUUGUUGGGUAGGGGAGCGUUCUGUAAGCCUGUGAAGGUGUGCUGUGAGGCAUGCUGGAGGUAUCAGAAGUGCGAAUGCUGACAUAAGUAACGAUAAAGCGGGUGAAAAGCCCGCUCGCCGGAAGACCAAGGGUUCCUGUCCAACGUUAAUCGGGGCAGGGUGAGUCGACCCCUAAGGCGAGGCCGAAAGGCGUAGUCGAUGGGAAACAGGUUAAUAUUCCUGUACUUGGUGUUACUGCGAAGGGGGGACGGAGAAGGCUAUGUUGGCCGGGCGACGGUUGUCCCGGUUUAAGCGUGUAGGCUGGUUUUCCAGGCAAAUCCGGAAAAUCAAGGCUGAGGCGUGAUGACGAGGCACUACGGUGCUGAAGCAACAAAUGCCCUGCUUCCAGGAAAAGCCUCUAAGCAUCAGGUAACAUCAAAUCGUACCCCAAACCGACACAGGUGGUCAGGUAGAGAAUACCAAGGCGCUUGAGAGAACUCGGGUGAAGGAACUAGGCAAAAUGGUGCCGUAACUUCGGGAGAAGGCACGCUGAUAUGUAGGUGAAGUCCCUCGCGGAUGGAGCUGAAAUCAGUCGAAGAUACCAGCUGGCUGCAACUGUUUAUUAAAAACACAGCACUGUGCAAACACGAAAGUGGACGUAUACGGUGUGACGCCUGCCCGGUGCCGGAAGGUUAAUUGAUGGGGUCAGCGCAAGCGAAGCUCUUGAUCGAAGCCCCGGUAAACGGCGGCCGUAACUAUAACGGUCCUAAGGUAGCGAAAUUCCUUGUCGGGUAAGUUCCGACCUGCACGAAUGGCGUAAUGAUGGCCAGGCUGUCUCCACCCGAGACUCAGUGAAAUUGAACUCGCUGUGAAGAUGCAGUGUACCCGCGGCAAGACGGAAAGACCCCGUGAACCUUUACUAUAGCUUGACACUGAACAUUGAGCCUUGAUGUGUAGGAUAGGUGGGAGGCUUAGAAGUGUGGACGCCAGUCUGCAUGGAGCCGACCUUGAAAUACCACCCUUUAAUGUUUGAUGUUCUAACGUUGACCCGUAAUCCGGGUUGCGGACAGUGUCUGGUGGGUAGUUUGACUGGGGCGGUCUCCUCCUAAAGAGUAACGGAGGAGCACGAAGGUUGGCUAAUCCUGGUCGGACAUCAGGAGGUUAGUGCAAUGGCAUAAGCCAGCUUGACUGCGAGCGUGACGGCGCGAGCAGGUGCGAAAGCAGGUCAUAGUGAUCCGGUGGUUCUGAAUGGAAGGGCCAUCGCUCAACGGAUAAAAGGUACUCCGGGGAUAACAGGCUGAUACCGCCCAAGAGUUCAUAUCGACGGCGGUGUUUGGCACCUCGAUGUCGGCUCAUCACAUCCUGGGGCUGAAGUAGGUCCCAAGGGUAUGGCUGUUCGCCAUUUAAAGUGGUACGCGAGCUGGGUUUAGAACGUCGUGAGACAGUUCGGUCCCUAUCUGCCGUGGGCGCUGGAGAACUGAGGGGGGCUGCUCCUAGUACGAGAGGACCGGAGUGGACGCAUCACUGGUGUUCGGGUUGUCAUGCCAAUGGCACUGCCCGGUAGCUAAAUGCGGAAGAGAUAAGUGCUGAAAGCAUCUAAGCACGAAACUUGCCCCGAGAUGAGUUCUCCCUGACUCCUUGAGAGUCCUGAAGGAACGUUGAAGACGACGACGUUGAUAGGCCGGGUGUGUAAGCGCAGCGAUGCGUUGAGCUAACCGGUACUAAUGAACCGUGAGGCUUAACCUU
rnacentral:rRNA from 1 species